CGGCAGCACAGUAAGAGCUUGCUCUUAUGGGUGGCGAGUGGCGGACGGGUGAGGAAUACAUCGGAAUCUACUCUUUCGUGGGGGAUAACGUAGGGAAACUUACGCUAAUACCGCAUACGACCUACGGGUGAAAGCGGAGGACCUUCGGGCUUCGCGCGAUUGAAUGAGCCGAUGUCGGAUUAGCUAGUUGGCGGGGUAAAGGCCCACCAAGGCGACGAUCCGUAGCUGGUCUGAGAGGAUGAUCAGCCACACUGGAACUGAGACACGGUCCAGACUCCUACGGGAGGCAGCAGUGGGGAAUAUUGGACAAUGGGCGCAAGCCUGAUCCAGCCAUGCCGCGUGGGUGAAGAAGGCCUUCGGGUUGUAAAGCCCUUUUGUUGGGAAAGAAAAGCAAUCGGUUAAUACCCGAUUGUUCUGACGGUACCCAAAGAAUAAGCACCGGCUAACUUCGUGCCAGCAGCCGCGGUAAUACGAAGGG
rnacentral:rRNA from 1 species